rnacentral:rRNA from 1 species
GACAGAGGGUGCAAACGUUUGUUCGGAAUUACUGGGCGUAAAGCGCGUGUAGGCUGCUUCGAAAGUCGGAUGUGAAAGCCCUGGGCUCAACCUAGGAAGUGCAUUCGAAACUUCGAAGCUGGAGCCUGGAGAGGAAGGCGGAAUUCUCGGUGUAGAGGUGAAAUUCGUAGAUAUCGAGAGGAACACCGGUGGCGAAGGCGGCCUUCUGGACAGUGAC